rnacentral:rRNA from 1 species
UAAUGUUGAAAAAUUAGCGGAUGACCUGUGGCUGGGGGUGAAAGGCCAAUCAAACCGGGAGAUAGCUGGUUCUCCCCGAAAGCUAUUUAGGUAGCGCCUCGUGAAUUCAUCUCCGGGGGUAGAGCACUGUUUCGGCUAGGGGGCCAUCCCGGCUUACCAACCCGAUGCAAACUGCGAAUACCGGAGAAUGUUAUCACGGGAGACACACGGCGGGUGCUAACGUCCGUCGUGAAGAGGGAAACAACCCAGACCGCCAGCUAAGGUCCCAAAGUCAUGGUUAAGUGGGAAACGAUGUGGGAAGGCCCAGACAGCCAGGAUGUUGGCUUAGAAGCAGCCAUCAUUUAAAGAAAGCGUAAUAGCUCACUGGUCGAGUCGGCCUGCGCGGAAGAUGUAACGGGGCUAAACCAUG